UUAGAAAAGAUUUUUCAUAUGUCUUACUCGCCCGUACCGUAAACCGACACAGGUGGGUGAGUGUAAAUGCACUAAGGCGCGCGAGAGAGACCUCUCUAAGGAACUCGGCACAUUAGCCUCGUAACUUCGGGAAAAGAGGUGCUCACUUCGGUGAGCCACAGUAAAUUGCGUUUAGCGACUGUUUAACAAAAACACAGCACUCUGCUAAGUCGUUAAGACGACUAUAGGGUGUGACACGUGACCAAUGCGGAAAGAUUAAGGCAUUUUGUUAGCCGCAAGGCGAAGCUCGGUGCCAAAGUCCCCGUGAAUGUCGGCCGUAACUAUAACGGUCCUAAGGUAGCGAAAUUCCUUGUCGGGUAAGUUCCGACCUGCACGAAUCGUGUAACGACUGAACGACUGUCUCGGAGAGGAUCUCGGCGAAACUGUAACUGCGGUGAAGAUGCCGCAUGCCCGCAGUAGGACGGAAAGACCCUAUGCACCUUUACUGUAAGCUGGUAUUGUGUUCUGAUUAAUAAUGCGUAGCGUAGGUGGGAGGCUUUGAAGUGAGUGCUUCGGUGCUCAUGGAGCCGCAAUGUGAAACACCACUCUUUGCUAAUUAGGAUUCUAACCUCGAUUCCUGUCAACCAGGCGAGGGACAGUGCUAGCGGGUCAGUUUGACUGGGGCGGUUUCCUCCCAAAGAGUAACGGAGGAGCGCGAAGCUUGGCUCAGCACGGUUGGCAACCGUGCGUCGAGCGUAUGGGUAUAAGCCAGGUUAACUGUGAGACCUACAAGUCGAGCAGAUGCGAAAGCAGGCCCAAAUGAUCCGAUGGUUUAAUGUGGAAUUGCCAUCGCUCAACGGACAAAAGGUACGCUAGGGAUAACAGGCUGAUCGGUUCCAAGAGUUCACAUCGACGAACCGGUUUGGCACCUCGAUGUCGGCUCAUCGCAUCCUGGGGCUGGAGAAGGUCCCAAGGGUCCGGCUGUUCGCCGGUUAAAGCGGUACGCGAGCUGGGUUCAGAACGUCGUGAGACAGUUCGGUCCUUAUCCACUGUGGGCGCAGGAAUCUUGAGGGGUUCAUUCUCUAGUACGAGAGGACCGAGAAUGACGCACUUCUGGUGUGGCAGUUGUUCCAUCAGGGGCAUCGCUGCGUAGCCAUGUGCGGAAGAGAUAAGCGCUGAAAGCGUCUAAGUGCCAAGCUCAUCCCAAGAUAUGGAUUCCCGGACGCAAGUCCCUAAAGACCCCCGGCAGACUACCGGGUUGAUAGGUCAGGCAUGUAAGCGUCGCGAGAUGUUUAGUGGACUGAUACUAAUUGGUCGUGCGGCUUGAUCGC
rnacentral:rRNA from 1 species